AUGUGGUUUAAUUCGACGCUACGCGAAGAACCUUACCUGGGCUUGAACUGCUGGUGGUAGAAGCCCGAAAGGGUAACGACCCGGAGCAAUCCGGGAGCCAGUAGAGGUGCUGCAUGGCUGUCGUCAGCUCGUGUCGUGAGAUGUUGGGUUAAGUCCCGCAACGAGCGCAACCCUUACCCUUAGUUGCCAGCGGGUAAUGCCGGGCACUCUGGGGAGACUGCCGGUGAUAAACCGGAGGAAGGCGGGGAUGACGUCAAGUCCUCAUGGCCCUUACAUCCCGGGCUACACACGUGCUACAAUGGCAGGUACAGAGGGCUGCGAAGCCGCGAGGUGGAGCGAAUCCCAGAAAACCUGUCUCAGUCCGGAUUGAAGUCUGCAACUCGACUUCAUGAAGGCGGAAUCGCUAGUAACCGCGAAUCAGCAGGUCGCGGUGAAUACGUUCCCGGGCCUU
rnacentral:rRNA from 1 species